rnacentral:rRNA from 1 species
ACGGAAGGCAGCAGUGGGGAAUAUUGGGCAAUGGGCGAAAGCCUGACCCAGCAACGCCGCGUGAAGGAUGAAGGUUUUCGGAUUGUAAACUUCUUUGACUGAGGACGACAAUGACGGUACUCAGAAAACAAGCCACGGCUAACUACGUGCCAGCAGCCGCGGUAAUACGUAGGUGGCGAGCGUUGUCCGGAUUUACUGGGUGUAAAGGGCGUGUAGGCGGGAUAGCAAGUCAGAUGUGAAAACCCGAGGCUCAACUUCGGGACUGCAUUUGAAACUGUUGUUCUUGAGUGAUGGAGAGGUAAGCGGAAUUCCUAGUGUAGCGGUAAAAUGCGUAGAUAUUAGGAGGAACACCGGUGGCGAAGGCGGCUUACUGGACAUUAACUGACGCUGAGGCGCGAAAGCGUGGGGAGCAAACAGGAUUAGAUACCCUGGUA